AUUAGCUAGUUGGUGGGGUAAUGGCUCACCAAGGCGACGAUCCGUAACUGGUCUGAGAGGAUGAUCAGUCACACUGGAACUGAGACACGGUCCAGACUCCUACGGGAGGCAGCAGUGGGGAAUAUUGGACAAUGGGCGAAAGCCUGAUCCAGCCAUGCCGCGUGUGUGAAGAAGGUCUUCGGAUUGUAAAGCACUUUAAGUUGGGAGGAAGGGCAGUAAGCUAAUACCUUGCUGUUUUGACGUUACCGACAGAAUAAGCACCGGCUAACUCUGUGCCAGCAGCCGCGGUAAUACAGAGGGUGCAAGCGUUAAUCGGAAUUACUGGGCGUAAAGCGCGCGUAGGUGGUUUGUUAAGUUGGAUGUGAAAGCCCCGGGCUCAACCUGGGAACUGCAUCCAAAACUGGCAAGCUAGAGUACGGUAGAGGGUGGUGGAAUUUCCUGUGUAGCGGUGAAAUGCGUAGAUAUAGGAAGGAACACCAGUGGCGAAGGCGACCACCUGGACUGAUACUGACACUGAGUGCGAAAGCGUGGGGAGCAAACAGGAUUAGAUACCCUGGUAGUCCACGCCGUAAACGAUGUCAACUAGCCGUUGGAAUCCUUGAGAUUUUAGUCGCCGCAGCUAACCGCAUUAAGUC
rnacentral:rRNA from 1 species